rnacentral:lncRNA from 1 species
UUUAACAAAGGUAUCGCUGAAAGAGUACGGAAUCCGUACCUGAUACUUCCAAACCAUUUAUAGCACACUCCACAAAAUCUUACCCUCAAAUGCCAACGAUAUCAAAUACAAAACGUUAUUCAUCACCUAAACAUAUUCACCUCAAAUUAAAAAUAAUCCAAACUAAUAAUUCUUAAAUAAUUAAUAAUCUAUUUAAUAUGCCUUUAAUCAUCGGUUUAUAUCAAUUAUUAAUACUCCAAAAUUUAUAUUCCAAGUAUAACUCUUUAAAUCCCCUUCGUUCGAACUAAUUACACAAAUUAACAAAAAUUAAUAAAUAUCUAUAAGUUAAAUUACUAAUUACAA